CAGAAAAUAUGAAACAUGGCCAGAGUUUGAUCAAAUUUUAAGGACAAGUUUAGAAGAUAAAAUGGAACAAAAACACAUGCCUCUGGAGAAGAAAACUCAUUUUUAACGAAAGCAUGAUAAAAAAGUAUCUGCAUGUUAUGGAGUGCCACCUAGUGACUGCAUGGUACCUAUGAGCGUGGACACCUCCAAACCAAAUGAAUUACUCUGAAGAGUUAGCACCAGUGGUGGAUAGUGACAGUAUUUCCUUCAGCAAAAUCACAGAAUACUUCAUCUGUGCAUAGCAGAGGAGAGAAGAAUAAAGUACAAAAAGAAACGAGAGGGAUGUAAGCAGAAAUACUGUUGCCAGCUCCCUGCUCUGGUGUGAUC